UACGGAGGGCGCGAGCGUUGUCCGGAAUCACUGGGCGUAAAGGGCGCGUAGGCGGCCCUGGUAAGUCUGCGGUGAAAGCCCGGGGCUCAACCCCGGGUCGGCCGCGGGUACUGCCGGGCUGGAGUGCCGUAGGGGCAGGCGGAAUUCCGGGUGUAGCGGUGGAAUGCGUAGAGAUCCGGAGGAAGACCGGUGGCGAAGGCGGUCUGCUGGGCAGUUUCUGACACUGAGAAGCGAAAGCAUGGGGAGCGAACAGG
rnacentral:rRNA from 1 species